CGCGUCUGCUUUGCGGUGUGAACACGCACUGCCCCCGCGAAGGGCUGAACGUUGCCUAGUUCAUGUCCCAUCACAAUACAGCAGUAUCGUUCAGAUUUUAACAGGGAAGCCUCUGAAGAUUACAGAGCUGUGCACGCUACAUGCAGCUGUUUAUAUUCCCCGGUGCUUCUCCAGCAGCCGCUUUCCGAUCCCGGCUUCUCCAAGGGCCCGUUCCCGACGCGUCCAAGUCACGCUACACCCGCGCCCCGUCUCCCGGGACUGGAAGGCUGCGCGCUUCAGGGCAGACCCCACCGCGGGGAGGCAGGCUCUGGGCCUUUAUCUGAUCCAACAAACAAACAAGACCCCUGAUCCAGUGAGGGCUGCAACUCUUAUGAAAGGCUUGGAAGGACAGGACUUCUGAGGUCCCAUAAGACUGUGCUUCUUCUGAGCUGAAACUGUGAUGAAUUGAAACUACAAGGAAUUUCCUGGGGUGGGAUAUUGAAGGACUGCUCCUCCCAGAGCCCAUGCUAGGGCUGGGAUGAUCUCUGAGAAAGCAAGCAGAUAUGCUUGGGCUGCCUCUCUCUGGAGAAUUACACUGAAGGCAAGGAACUGUGCAGCCUGGAAAAACCUGGGUCAGGAGAGAAUGAGGCGCAUGUCUCCACCCAAGAAAGGGACCUGUCAUGGAUUCACAGGCCCGGUGCUCUUGAACAGCUCUGGAACAGCCCCUGGGAGGACCCUCUUCAGUUUGGCAACCCUCUAUGAGGGUUGCACUCUCUCUUUGGGAUAAGCCCCUUCACCUGGGACCGAAUAUCAGCGCCUUCAACACCCUUGCGUCACACCAUGAGCGUCCCUCUGCGAGUCCACUUGCAUUGGACCCCUGAGGGGAGAAUUAUUCACCCAAAGGGAGCAAUGCAGCCCCAACUUAGUCUGGAGUGACUCUUGGCCAGUAUUGUAAAAUGGAAGGAUUUGUUAACUGUCUGGAACUGUCUGGAAGUCCUUGUGGUAGCAUAGAAAGCUGAAAAGUUCAACUGGGUCUGACUAGAGCUCAGAACUAUCUUGCAGGCCCCAGUCCAGAAGUGUCCCUGCUUCCAGCAGUCCACAUUCAACUGAACCAAUCUGCCCCUCCUCAGUCAUUUGUUCCUCUUUCUGGGCAAAUCAAAGGUCACCUGGCCAUCCACCUUAGCUCUUUGCUCUCCCGCUGAUCCGAAUUGGCUGGCCUCUGUUGUUAGUUGCUAGUCACCGGAUAUCUGAGCAUUGUCUUCUGGGUUCUCUGUGGGCAUGGGGCCCAGAUAGCCAGGUGUCAGUCACACCUGGUCCUCUGUUUUUCUGCAGAGAUCAAACAAUCUUGCUCCCCCACCUAAUUAAACAUACAGCACAUAGGGGAAACUGAGGCACACAGAAUAUUCACACAAAAUAUUAAGAAGUUUCCCACUUUGUCACAGGAGCUCAAUCACAAACAGAGUAGCAACUUCAGAGAAAUUGCUUGCCUGAGCUCUGUCUUCCCAGGAGUCUCUAUUGCAGUUCCAUACAAAACUUGGACUGGAUUCCUUGAGAAAAUAUCUCAAAAUGGGGCCCUGAAAACUUGAACUGGUUAAAGCAGAUAUCUCCUAGACACCCAACAAGGAGGGACACAGAGGAUUCUGACCAUAUUCUGUGCAGUUUUAAAGUGAGUAUUUACCUCCUUCAAUGUUCUGUCUGCUUGUUAGGGCCAGCUAAUGUACAUGCAAUGAUACAUACAAGCCAAACCCACAAACUGUUAAUUGCAUGGUUCCAAUUUUAUACCCCAGCUGUUAAAUUCUUAGCCUUCACUAGCUAAAAGCUGGGGAAUCCCACCCAUUCUGCCUUCCCUAACAAAGAAACAGCCUUCCAAACUAUUAUAAGGAGAUCAGUUACAACAGAUUGUUUGUUACAAACAUUUGGAAAAAAUACAGUUUGACAGUUAGCCAUAAGCAGGGAUGUGCAAACUAGUUCUGCAAAAGUUAAUGACCUUAUUUCUGAACCUUCACUAGUGCCUGGAACUGAAUCUGGGUCAAGAGGGGUUGCAAAUAGCGGAAUAUGUGUGUGUUACUGAAAUAUGCGGUGAGGUUGGGAACACCCACAACCAGCCUUUCAGAUACAAGAGUGGAGUAGCUAGACCUGCUGAUGGCCCAUUAAAGGGAAUUCACACCUGAUGGCUAUUGCAGAAGACUUCUCAGAGAGAACACAUAGACAUUAUAAUGGAGACUGCUUGACUAGUGGGGACUGCUGGAUCCCUAUGUGAAAAGAUCUUUCCAGCAAGCUGGAAGAAACUAUAAAAGAGGGGAAUUGACAUCAUGAUUGACCUCCCUCCCCCCUCAACUCAAUCCUGGAAACAGGUCUGGUGGACAAAGACUUUGAACUGGGGAGGAUGGUCCUAGGCUGGAAAAGAGUCCCAGAACUAUGCCAUCUGUCAGAGUGAGUCACUGCUUGAUUCAAAUCUUGUUUAGUUUGUAGAACUCAGACUGCAAAUUUACUUUUGUUUCUCAGCUCAGUUUACAAAAGGUAGUGUGUGUCCUCUCCACAUCACGGGAGGGGUGGACUGGAUAAUGAUCUUCCACUAGUCAGGCUUCUGACCAGUGCAAGAUGGUACAGUUCUGGGUUGCAAGACUGGGAAGCUGGGGGGGAAUUGGCUGGACCCUCUCUAUUGUUGGUUCAUGAGUGGCUGGGAAAAGAAUUAAUGUAACUCAGUUGGAUGUGUCACUGCCUGUGGAUGUCUGUGUAAGUGCAGAACCUUACCAACAGCAUCACAGAGUGAGAGGGAUACACGCCAGGUUGGUGGGACAGACAGUUUAGCAAUCUCACAGUCCAGGCUGCACCCUGGGAACCCCGUCACCGUCUCACAAUGUAAAUGCAAGAUUUCAUUAUUUUUAUAUGUCUUUCUAGUGAGCCUAUUCGUGUGGCAUUUGUGAGCUUCACAAAUGUGAGCCAAACGCUGGACUAUUAAUGUAGCACUAUCAUAAUGACUUGUCACAUUUUUGUGGAGACAUGAAGAUAUAGUUAUAUCUUAACCACUGUGAUAGUCUGUACCCCUAUGUUCACCCCUUUUACAAGACUAUGUUAAAUUUUGUACAAAGCAUUCUGUGUAAGGUAUCGUUUGAAAACUCAUGAUUUGCUGAUCAUUUUUGUCCUGGUAAAAUAUGUGUAUAAAGAUGUAAGAUUCCAUUGUGUGAUAUACUGGGAUAUGUUCUAGAGGGCAGUCCCAAACAAGUUCCCCAGAGACAAAAGGUUAGCCAAUGCCUCAGUCAGGUGACAAUGGAAUCAAAGGGACCAUCACCUGGUUAAGUGGCCAGGAGAGAGGGUGUGUGCAAAAAAUCUACAUUUUGACAAAGAAGCAGUUUAAGGUUCCCAGCCACACAGACUUUCUGUCUUCUGAACAUCAGCUGGAGGUGAUUCUUGUGCAAGGGAAGGCCUAUACAAGGAGAGGGGAGAUGCCCUAAAUCAUCUUCUCUCCCUUGCUCUCUUCCCAUGGCAUCCUCAACACCUGAAGAACAAAAGAAGCAGCAUUGGACUGGGAGGGAGAUCCUGACUGAAAGAGGUUCUGCCAGUAAGACUGCUGGAACAUGUGACAAGCGAGACCUUUGUUUGUAUUUAUGUAGCUUGUUAAAUUAGAUGCAUUUUACCUUUUAUUUCUUUGUAACCAAUUCUGAUUUAUAUGUCUCAUUACUUAUAGUUACUUUAAAUCUAUCUUUCUGUAGUUAAUACAUUUGCUUUAUUGUUUUAUCUAAACCAGUGUGUUUGGAUUGAAGUG